rnacentral:rRNA from 1 species
UACGUAGGGCGCAAGCGUUAUCCGGAAUUAUUGGGCGUAAAGAGCUCGUAGGCGGUUUGUCGCGUCUGCCGUGAAAGUCCGGGGCUCAACUCCGGAUCUGCGGUGGGUACGGGCAGACUAGAGUGAUGUAGGGGAGACUGGAAUUCCUGGUGUAGCGGUGAAAUGCGCAGAUAUCAGGAGGAACACCGAUGGCGAAGGCAGGUCUCUGGGCCGAUAUUGACGCUGAGGAGCGAAAGCAUGGGGAGCGAACAGG